rnacentral:rRNA from 1 species
AGAGUUUGAUCAUGGCUCAGGAUGAACGCUGGCGGCGUGCUUAACACAUGCAAGUCGAACGAUGAAGCACCGCUUGCGGUGUGGAUUAGUGGCGAACGGGUGAGUAACACGUGAGUAACCUGCCCUUGACUCUGGGAUAAGCCUGGGAAACUGGGUCUAAUACCGGAUAUGACCUUUCACCGCAUGGUGGGGGGUGGAAAGCUUUUGUGGUUUUGGAUGGACUCGCGGCCUAUCAGCUUGUUGGUGGGGUAAUGGCCUACCAAGGCGAUGACGGGUAGCCGGCCUGAGAGGGUGACCGGCCACACUGGGACUGAGACACGGCCCAGACUCCUACGGGAGGCAGCAGUGGGGAAUAUUGCACAAUGGGCGCAAGCCUGAUGCAGCGACGCCGCGUGAGGGAUGACGGCCUUCGGGUUGUAAACCUCUUUCAGUAGGGAAGAAGCUUUCGGGUGACGGUACCUGCAGAAGAAGCGCCGGCUAACUACGUGCCAGCAGCCGCGGUAAUACGUAGGGCGCAAGCGUUAUCCGGAAUUAUUGGGCGUAAAGAGCUCGUAGGCGGUUUGUCGCGUCUGCUGUGAAAGACCGGGGCUCAACUCCGGUUCCGCAGUGGGUACGGGCAGACUAGAGUGAUGUAGGGGAGACUGGAAUUCCUGGUGUAGCGGUGAAAUGCGCAGAUAUCAGGAGGAACACCGAUGGCGAAGGCAGGUCUCUGGGCAUUAACUGACGCUGAGGAGCGAAAGCAUGGGGAGCGAACAGGAUUAGAUACCCUGGUAGUCCAUGCCGUAAACGUUGGGCACUAGGUGUGGGGGACAUUCCACGUUUUCCGCGCCGUAGCUAACGCAUUAAGUGCCCCGCCUGGGGAGUACGGCCGCAAGGCUAAAACUCAAAGGAAUUGACGG